GUACACGCUGUGACUAGCAUAUCAAUAAGCGGAGGAAAAGAAACUAACAAGGAUUCCCCUAGUAACGGCGAGUGAAGCGGGAAGAGCUCAAAUUUGAAAUCUUAAAGGGUUUCCCUUUACGAAUUGUAGUUUAAAGAAGUGUUUUCUGUUGAGGUUUUGGUAAAAGUUCUUUGGAAUAGGACAUCAUAGAGGGUGAGAAUCCCGUAUUUGACCUUUACUUUCAACUUUGUGAUACACUUUCAAAGAGUCGGAUUGUUUGGGAAUGCAGUCCAAAAUGGGUGGUAAAUUUCAUCUAAAGCUAAAUAUUGGCGAGAGACCGAUAGCGAACAAGUACCGUGAGGGAAAGACGAAAAGAACUUUGAAAAGAGAGUUAAACAGUACGUGAAAUUGUCAAAAGGGAAGCGUUUGACACCAGUGUUGUUUUUCUGAAAAUCAAUUAAAGAACUGUUUAUGCUAAGCUGUUUAGACUUUAUCAGCUAUCUGUUUAGUUUUGAGCUUUUCUUUAAUGCACUUUUCAGUUAACAAGUCAACAUCAAUUUCUUUUGCUGUAAAAAAGCUUGAGGAAGGUGGCUUGAGAUUCGUCUCAAGUGUUUAUAGCCUCUUGCCUAUGCAGUCGGAGAGAUUGAGGUCUGCAGCGUAGAUCCUUCGGGGCUAAAUGCAUUUGUGCUAAGUUAUAACAUUUUAUAGACAACUUGUUGACUAUGAUUUGUCUUGUAGCUUACUCGCUUAUGUUAUUUUACCUACGCUUAGGAUGUUGACGCGCGUGUGUGCGUG
rnacentral:rRNA from 1 species